UGUGGAGCAGUGUGAGUCAGUGACAUAAAUACAGGGAAGGGUAGGAGAGACUACAUGACAUCACAAUACCACCUUUACAUACUUCUGCGGCCUUGCUUCACGCUUCUUCAGGAGGAAUUGUCCAUGUAGUUGGGAAGUAACUUCAGAAAGAGAAAAUACAGUUCCGUCAGGGUCACAAGAUGGCUGCCAUGGUCAGAUGUCACAAACCCAUAUGGCAGUGUUCUCAGCAGGAAGGACGGGGGGAAGGCUCCUUUUUAUCAGGCAUGUAGCUGGACUCUUGAUAUUUUCCUGCUUCAGGGAUUUUCACAGGAAAGAAAGCAGAAACAAUUUGAAGACAAUUGUAUCUCCUGUCUUUUGUAAAAGCCUAAACAAAAUGAUCUUCAGCUGAGGAGUGUAUUUGACGGUAUUUAGAAAGAAGAGGGAGAGACUUCACCUAGAAUAAAAAGGUCAGAGAAGAAAGGAACAAUCUAGAGCAGGUGGGCUCUGGACACAGAUCUCUGAGCCCCAACAAAUAGUCAUAUGUCCUAAUUGGACCAGAAAAGACCAUGUUCCUGGGAUAAUGGGUAUCUUAAAGAUAGUCUGGGUGGACAGAUAAGUGAUGGCUAGGGUUUUCUCCCUAAUGUUAUGCGGCUGGGUAAGACCCUUGCAGAACCCUGAGGGGAGUCUUGGUAACUUACAUCUCCUGCCAGGAUAAAGAGAUGGGUGUUCAGAUUUAGAUUUAAUUUGAUUGCAGAGAACAAGAGAUUUUCUAUACUCUUGAAUUUGUCAACUAAAAGUCCAAACUGCCUCAAACACAUGGUUCUAUUUACAAAAUAACCAUUUACAAAGUUGGUUUUACAACCAUAUAACUGUUUGUAAUACUCUGUAUAACAUGUUAUCACCUGCAUCAUAUGAUCAUUUGAUGUCAUCUUUAGCAAAAGGACAGAGGGGCCACUUUUAUUAGUUCCUCAAGAAUAGAGCCUUAGAAAUGAUAAAUUCUUAUGAACUAUUGUUCAAAAAUAACCCCUAGUUAUCUUUAGCCUGCUCCAAAUGCCCUUCCCCCGGCUACCCCCUG
rnacentral:lncRNA from 1 species